GGCCGCGCCGUCAACUUCUGGCCGCCGCGGCCGCUCCGCCGCCGCCGCCGCCACCGCGGGACUUUUUUUUUUUUUUUUUUUUUUUCCCCUCUCGCUCCUCGGCUGCCUCUGGAAUUUUUUUUUUUCACUUGCCCUCUCCAGCUCCCACUAGUGAUUGGAGACUGAGAGCCAAGUACUUAGCGGAGGGAUUACACUUCUCAACGCAAUUGGAGCGGCCCCAGCGCCGCCGCCUGUGUGCGGAGUGCGGAGCCGACUUGGGGAGCGGCGGGGUGCGGGCCGGAGGCAGCCCGGGUACAGGGGUGCUCUUCCCAAGCCCUGUCCGCUGCUCAGAGCAUCCCCAAGAUUUCCCUCAUGGGUCCUGUCCUGGUUGUUUAAGAAGGUUUCCAGAAAACCUCCUGGUUUGAAGAACAAAGAUUCGUGGAAUUAUUGUACCUUGAGAGCUGGAAAGGGCUCGCAGAGAUGAUAUAAUGUCGUGGACUUCAACUUUUCGGGGCCAUAGACACUUUUCAGAAAUUGAUAAAACGUUGACACACCUUGUAAAAAAUGAACACAUUAAAAUUAAGCCUGCAGUUUGAGGUAAUGGAGAAGCACUGGAGAUUUGUAAGCCACGGAGUCAAAUGGUGGACUGGGAUUUUCAGGAGAUCAUUUAGAGAGCAAGAUCUUACCAAAUCCUUUAGUCAUGGUCUAUUUCGUUGCACUCAUAUGGGUGUUACUGCGAAGGUGAAGGACUAAUGACUGCAGCAGGAAAAAGAAUUGGAUGUGUCAUGAAUUAUGGCCCUGCUUAUACUUCUACUUCAACCAUAAUCAUUUGUUUAAACAAAAAGUUCUGCAUUUGAAUUGUCACAAUUGUGUGUGUGUUAUAAACAUCUCAUAUUUCAUCCAGGCUCAGCCAACACUUGCCUUUAUUAACACUCAUAAUCAAGAAAUAAAAUCUCAUACUAACCAAAAAUUAUCCUUCAUAAGAGAAUAUAAACAGAAGUCUGGUUCAUAAACUUACUAAUUAACACCUCUAUUCUCAUGUAUUAACUAACAUUUUUGUUUCGUCUUAAAAUAAAUAAAACUUUAUGACAUGCUAAUAAUUUAUUUAAAAU